GAUGAAGAACGCAGCGAAAUGCGAUACUUGGUGUGAAUUGCAGAAUCCCGUGAACCAUCGAGUCUUUGAACGCAAGUUGCACCCGAAGCCGUCAGGCCGAGGGCACGCCUGCCUGGGCGUCACACGCCGUUGCCCCCCCGCGCCCCGCACCCAACUCUUUGGGAGCGACCGCGGGGCGGGCUGAUGAUGGCCUCCCGUGCGCUCCGCCGCGCGGUUGGCCCAAAUACCGAGUCCCCGGCGACGUGCGCCACGACGAUCGGUGGUUGAGAGACCUCUGUCGCAAGUCGUGCGCGCCCGUCGCGUCACGCGGGCUCGCAUAGCGCCUCGCGCCGCACCCGGUGCGGAGCUUUCAACGCGACCCCAGGUCAGGCGGGGUUACCCGCUGAAUUUAAGCAUAUCAAUAAGCGGAGGA
rnacentral:misc_RNA from 1 species